UGGGGAAUAUUGGACAAUGGGCGAAAGCCUGAUCCAGCCAUGCCGCGUGUGUGAAGAAGGUCUUCGGAUUGUAAAGCACUUUAAGUUGGGAGGAAGGGCAGUAAGCUAAUACCUUGCUGUUUUGACGUUACCGACAGAAUAAGCACCGGCUAACUCUGUGCCAGCAG
rnacentral:rRNA from 1 species